rnacentral:lncRNA from 1 species
CUUAUGGGGGUGUAGUUUACCUAGGGUUUGGCAUGUGGCAUUUCAAUAGCAAAAGGACUAUUAUGUCCUUUUGGGGUAUAUCUAUCAGGUGCACAUCUGAAAAUACUCUAAAAAGAAAUGCAUGUCAAAUUAAGUUGGUAGUAUUAUUACUCUCGCACUCAGUAGGAUAAAACAUGGACUAGGAGUUGAGACUUGCCUUCAUCAAAAGUCCUUAACGUCUCAUAGGGAAACUAGCGUCCUUGUGUAAAGCCUUCUAGAUCCUCAGCUUCGGCAUAGAGCCUGGCCGUACUACAUGCUCCAAAGGUACAAAAAAUAGCAAUCAAUUUAACAAUACAUCAAUCAAUACCUAAAGAAUGGAAAGAAAGGGAAAGGAUGAGUAUUCUAGGAAUUACCUGAUAAUUAAAGGUGAAUUCCUGGAUGAUAGAUGAAUAACUCAUUAAUUAUAUAGAAUUAUGUUUCUUGAUAAUUAAUGGGUCGGAUGUUUGGAUUUUCACAAAAUUCUAGAGAAUCUUAUGAUUAAUUCCCUAGGGUUAUUUAGGUUUUUGGUCGGGAAGCACAACGGCUGGGUUUGGACGAUAAUUUGAGAUUUUGGAUGGGCAGCACUAUGGCUAGGUUGGAUUAGUAUUUGGAGUUUUAGAUUGGGUAGCAUAACGGCUAUGCCGGGAUGAUACCUGAGAGUUUGAUUGGGCAGCAUAACGGCUAUGCUUAGAUGAUAUCUAGGGUUUAACUUGGGCAGCACAACUGCUGCCUGCCAGAAUGGACCAGACGCAUGGAUAAAUGCUUAAGGGUUGGGGAUCACUAGGGGGUUAUAGAAUGAGCCAAGGGCUAGGGUAAUGGAGACUUGCACAAAAGUAAUCGUCACCUAGGGCUUAACCCUAUGACAGGUGGAGCUCGCCAAGCUUCCUUACCCUAGGAUAAAAGUAGAACUUGAGAGCUAGCUCGACGGACACCACUUCGACCUGACCCCGUGCUAGGGGAUAGUCACAUGACGGUAGGUGGAGCUGGCAAGAUCAAGUGGAAGCUAGAGAGCUUGCAUGACAAACUCACUUCGACCACUAGGGUGAAGCUCGAGCAAGAUCAGGUGAAUGGAAGUUAGAGCUUUGCUCAUCAGACUUGUACUACCCGCCUUUUAUAGGCAUGCUAACGGGCAUCUCGAACCUCGAACCGAAGUCAAAGCAAAUCAAAACUCGACAUGUAAGGCAUGAAAAGUAAAUGUUGGCUCAUCUCUCCUCCGACGCUCGAAGGUGACAUUUUUGAUAAAGCGAUCCUUUGUCACGAGUUAUUGCCUGAUAACUAAGUUAUAAUUUAACUUACUUUCGAGUGUUCGAAGCUAGUCUUGAACACCGAGCUUUCGACUUUGCUUUUUACUCAGGAUCGCAACUAGACUAGGUGCCAUCAGGUUGGGCAUCUUUCUCGGGCUCGAGGUUGAAGGCACAAGGUUAAAGGAUUCGUUCAGUGCAAGGCUAAUGGUACGAAGCUGAAAACUUGAUCUGGUGCAGAGAAGAAGUCCCGAGGUUAAGAAGAUGAAGGCGUGAGAAGCGUGACUACAUGAAGGCGUGAGAAGCGUGACUACGUAAGAGAAUUCAAUUUGUACACGUUACCCCAAUGACCUUUAUGUACAGCAUAUCCUAGGAAUGUAGUAGGUGAGAAAGGAUAUUUUUGGGAUGUAAAGUGGUUCACGGGUCACUAUAAAAGGGGAGUCCUACCCGUUGUAAAGGAAGACUCAUUAUUUUUUUGAAAAGUGACAAGUGUUUUCCCUUUCCGAUUACAUCAGUUGGUAUUGAACUCCUUUGAGACCAACAGGAUGCCAACCGUGUUCUCAGCCGCAAAACAAUCCACAAUGCCACCUGCAAAGAAGAAGAAAACCACACCGCAGGAAACCACGGAGGGUGAAAGAGAGCAAGAGAGAGGGCUUAUUCCUACUGACCAAGACAACACGACACCCUUGAGAAAUUAAAGAGAAGUGAGAAGAAAAGAGCCGGCAUGGAGAAGCAAGCACAACCAGAAACAAGCACAAGAAAUGAUCCACGUGGGGAGGCGGAGAAAGAAUUAGCCUCAGUGCUAAAGCAGCUUGAAACACUAAAAAAUAAAAAGGAAAGAUUCACUCAAGAACUACAAGCACAACGGUAGCAGCUAACAAAAUAGCAAAAUUAAAUGAAGCAAGAAAAUAGCUAGCGGAAUUGCAAGAGGAGUUGGAUGAGCUGCAAUACUUGCACACUACACCACCACAACCACCACUUCCGGGACAGCAGUAUGUCAUGAACGACACACCUAUCCUGCAUACGAAUCCCAAUCUCAUUGGACACAACACCCCAACGAUGACAAAUACCUACGUAACAGUUGAUAAAAACUCUCCAUUAUCCUUGGGCUUGCAAACAGCACCAUGGCCUACAACCUACAAGGCGGUCAUGCUACCAAAAUUCAAUGGGAAAAUGACUCUUGCUAGUUCCUCAUGAGCUACAAGGCUGCAGUAGCAUUUGUUGGAGGAGAUGAUGUGGUUUUAGCCAAGUCCCUAAUCAUAGCCUACGAAGGAGCAGCGCUGAACUGGUACUCG